rnacentral:rRNA from 1 species
CGUAAACAAAGGGAAGCGAGACCGCGAGGUGGAGCAAAUCCCAGAAAUAACGUCUCAGUUCGGAUUGUAGUCCGCAACUCGACUACAUGAAGCUGGAAUCGCUAGUAAUCGCGAACCAGAAUGUCGCGGUGAAUACGUUCCCGGGUCUUGUACACACCGCCCGUCACACCAUGGGAGUCAGUAACGCCCGAAGUCAGUGACCCAACCGAACAGGGAGGGAGCUGCCGAAGGUGGGACCGAUAACUGGGGUGAAGUCGUAACAAGGUAAC